rnacentral:lncRNA from 1 species
AAUUAAAAAUUACAUAAUUUAAAUCAUGAAUUACUAACAAAAAAAAGGAGAAAUAAAUAAUUUACCUCCAUUGCACAGUAAGGGCUUCAUAAUCCCAAUAUUCCCUAGGACGAAGCACAUUAACAUCGGUGUAAACACGAGCUUUCGACAUAAUUUUACCGUCAAUCUCCAGUUUAGAGCUAUUGGUCUUAUUAUUAUAACUAUUGGAAUCUCCAGGUACCGAAUUCUCAGGAGGUGAGGCAAAUGGAGUAGGAUAAGCUACAAGGACAAUGCAAACUAGGGUGAUACAUAGGAGAAAUUGAGCGCAGCUUCCAUGUGAAGAAGCCACCGCCGUGGUGUGUAAUCGACAGAUUGUACUUUCUUGAGAAAAUUAAGUAGGAGAUGAAAGAAAAGUUUGAAUUAAAUUUCAUUUAAAUUGUAAUUAAGUUAAUUGGGUAAAUUAAUAAAGGGUGAAAAGAAAAAUUUAAAUUAAAAAAGAGUAACAUAAGUAUUAAAUAUUAAGUAGAGGUGAUAAUUUUAUGAUUAAUGUUAAUGAUACUAAUUUUAAAAUCUUCAAGUUUUAUUAUUUACAUAAAGAUCUCUACCCCAAAUUUACACAAAUAUUCCUAUACCAUCGACACUACUCUUCCACACCCUUUUCAUUGCCGCCUGCCGCUAUCACCUCCUCUUGCUCCACUAUCACUAUUACUAUCAUUGCUACCUCUUUCAGAUUUACCAUUAUUUCCUCCCUCUACAUAACUAUUGCUUAUUUUUUUUCUUUCUCCUCUAUCACCAUCGCUAUCAACGUCACAACAAAUAUCAUCUUCUCAUUCGGCGCUACCACCAGUACCACCACCUCUAUUUUUAUCAUAAAUAUCACUUUUUCGUGGACUCCUCCAAUCAGAUCUUUUUUCAGAAAUUAAGUAAGUAUCGAAGUUGUUGCAGCAACUUCGAUAAUUACUACAGUAACUUCGAUAAUUGUUGUAACAAAACAACUAAUAGUAGUUGUUGCAGCAAUUACCGUAGUUGCUGAAGCAACUCUCAUAGUUGUUGAAUUUGUUAAAUUAUUUCUUCAUUCAUUUUUAAAAGAAAUCAAAAAAAUUCUUUUCAAAUGCUAUAAUUUUGUUAUGCUGGAAGCCUAGAACUAUUUUCUAUCCACCUGGUUUGGUGUAUUAAGUGCAGUUCUGUCUUUACCCAUGCUUAUUCAUGUAUGAAUAGCCUAUGUAUUGCUAAUACUAUGGUUUGAUAUAUACUAAUUAUGCAUAGGCUAAAAACUUUACCAAACAAAGGAUAAAAUAAUACUAUAACUAAUACAUGUAUUAGAUUCUCUAAUACAUCCUAUCAAACGACCCCUUAAGGUUCUCCACCUACCAAGCACCCAAGAUUGUAUCCUAGUGAUUGAUUCAAAAGGUUAGCAACAGAAGGUCUCCAGUUCCCAGAAAAGACAAAACACUAUGUGAUUCUUUCCAUUUGUUCUAAACUUAGUGAACAUAGUUACCUAAUAUGUAAUUAUUGUUGUUGGAAAGUGCCAGGUAUCCCAUGGAAUUAGUCAAGGUGCCCGCCAGCCGACCCAAACACAAUGAUUAUCAAAAAAAAAAAAAGUUGUCAACCUAACACUAAAACCGCUUCUCCCAAUAAUAAUAAUAAUAGUAGUAAUCGAGCAAUCAACCUAGAUUCUCUAAUACAUCCUACCAAUGACUCCACCCAAGGGUGUGAAAUAGUGGUAAAUAAAGUGGACUGAGCAUCAUAAGGUCUCACAUUCAAUUCCCAGCAAAGACCAAUCAUUAGGUGGUUCUUCUCAUUUGUUCUAGCCUUGGUGGACAGAGUUACCUGAAAGUGGUAGUUCAUGGAAGGUGACAGAUAUCUUAGGGAAUUAGUCGAGGUACACGCAAGCUGGCUCGAACACCACGCUUAUCAUUUAAAAAGAAGUUCCCAAUAUAACACUUAAAGGUUCUCCCAAUAAUAAUAAUACAAAAUAGAACGAUUAACCGAGACAUCAUAAAGGCAGCAUAAUGCACUAAAGUUCCUGGUACAUGCAGUACGGGGAAGGCCACGAGGUCUAUUGUACCUAGGCUUAUCAUAACAUAAACAAUUAAAAAUUACAUAAUUUAAAUCAUGAAUUACUAACAAAAAAAAGGAGAAAUAAAUAAUUUACCUCCAUUGCACAGUAAGGGCUUCAUAAUCCCAAUAUUCCCUAGGACGAAGCACAUUAACAUCGGUGUAAACACGAGCUUUCGACAUAAUUUUACCGUCAAUCUCCAGUUUAGAGCUAUUGGUCUUAUUAUUAUAACUAUUGGAAUCUCCAGGUACCGAAUUCUCAGGAGGUGAGGCAAAUGGAGUAGGAUAAGCAACAAGGACAACGCAAACUAGGGUGAUACGUAGGAGAAAUUGAGCGCAGCUUCCAUGUGAAGAAGCCACCGCCGUGGUGUGUAAUCGACAGAUUGUACUUUCUUGAGAAAAUUAAGUAGGAGAUGAAAGAAAAGUUUGAAUUAAAUUUCAUUUAAAUUAUAAUUAAGUUAAUUGGGUAAAUUAAUAAAGGGUGAAAAGAAAAUUUUAAAUUAAAA